rnacentral:piRNA from 1 species
GCCAACGAAAUAUUGUUGAUUUCAGUGUU